CCCUUAGAUGUUCGGGGCCGCACGCGCGCUACACUGAAUGAAUCAGCGAGUGUAUGUCCUAGGCCGAAAGGUCCGGGUAACCCGUUGAACCUCAUUCGUGAUUGGGAUAGGGACUUGCAAUUGUUUCCCUUGAACGAGGAAUUCCCAGUAAGCGCAAGUCAUCAGCUUGCGUUGAUUACGUCCCUGCCCUUUGUACACACCGCCCGUCGCUACUACCGAUUGAAUGGUCCGGUGAAGCCUCGGGAUUGUGGUUAGUUUCCUUCAUUGGAAGUUAGCCGCGAGAACUUGUCUAAACCUUAUCAUUUAGAGGAAGGUGAAGUCGUAACA
rnacentral:rRNA from 1 species